rnacentral:rRNA from 1 species
UACGAAGGGUGCAAGCGUUAAUCGGAAUUACUGGGCGUAAAGCGUGCGUAGGUGGUUUGUUAAGUCUGAUGUGAAAGCCCUGGGCUCAACCUGGGAACGGCAUUGGAUACUGGCUUACUAGAGUGCGGUAGAGGGUAGCGGAAUUUCCGGUGUAGCGGUGAAAUGCGUAGAGAUCGGAAGGAACAUCCGUGGCGAAGGCGGCUACCUGGACCAGCACUGACACUGAGGCACGAAAGCGUGGGGAGCAAACACG